rnacentral:rRNA from 1 species
AGAUUGAACGCUGGCGGCAUGCUUUACACAUGCAAGUCGAACGGUAACAGGCCGCAAGGUGCUGACGAGUGGCGAACGGGUGAGUAAUGCAUCGGAACGUGCCCAGUCGUGGGGGGAUAACGCAGCGAAAGCUGUGCUAAUACCGCAUACGAUCUAUGGAUGAAAGCGGGGGACCGAAAGGCCUCGCGCGAUUGGAGCGGCCGAUGUCAGAUUAGCUAGUUGGUGGGGUAAAGGCCCACCAAGGCGACGAUCUGUAGCUGGUCUGAGAGGACGACCAGCCACACUGGAACUGAGACACGGUCCAGACUCCUACGGGAGGCAGCAGUGGGGAAUUUUGGACAAUGGGCGCAAGCCUGAUCCAGCAAUGCCGCGUGCAGGAAGAGGCCUUCGGUGUAACUGACUUUGUACGGAAGAACGUCUGGUAAUACCUGGCUAAUGACGUACCGUAAGAAUAAGCACCGACUAACUACGUGCCAGCAGA